rnacentral:rRNA from 1 species
CGUGGGGGAUGCUACACAUGCAAGUCGAGCGGGGUAGCAAUACCCAGCGGCGGACGGGUGAGGAAUACGUAGGAACCUACCUUGAGGUGGGGGAUAGCCUGGGGAAACUCAGGGUAAUACCGCAUGAUCUCGAGAGAGCAAAGGGGGCGCAAGCUCUCGCCUUUAGAUGGGCCUACGUCUGAUUAGCUAGUUGGUGAGGUAACGGCUCACCAAGGCGACGAUCAGUAACUGGUCUGAGAGGACGAUCAGUCACACCGGAACUGAGACACGGUCCGGACUCCUACGGGAGGCAGCAGUGGGGAAUAUUGGACAAUGGGCGAAAGCCUGAUCCAGCAAUUCCGCGUGUGUGAAGAAGGCCUUCGGGUUGUAAAGCACUUUAGGCUGGAAAGAAAAAGCUUGACCUAAUACGUCAAGCCUUGACGGUACCAGCAGAAUAAGCACCGGCUAACUCUGUGCCAGCAGCCGCGGUAAUACAGAGGGUGCAAGCGUUAAUCGGAUUUACUGGGCGUAAAGCGUGCGUAGGUGGUCGCAUAAGUCGGAUGUGAAAGCCCGGGGCUUAACCUCGGAACUGCAUUCGAUACUGUGUGACUAGAGUUCGGUAGAGGGCGGUGGAAUUCCCGGUGUAGCGGUGAAAUGCGUAGAUAUCGGGAGGAACAUCAAUGGCGAAGGCAGCCGCCUGGGCCUGGACUGACACUGAGGCACGAAAGCGUGGGUAGCAAACAGGAUUAGAUACCCUGGUAGUCCACGCCGUAAACGAUGAGAACUUGACGUUGGGAUGUUUUACAUCUCGGUGUCGCAGCUAACGCGAUAAGUUCUCCGCCUGGGGAGUACGGCCGCAAGGUUGAAACUCAAAGGAAUUGACGGGGGCCCGCACAAGCGGUGGAGUAUGUGGUUUAAUUCGAUGCAACGCGAAGAACCUUACCUGGUCUUGACAUCCAGAGAAUCCUGCAGAGAUGCGGGAGUGCCUUCGGGAACUCUGAGACAGGUGCUGCAUGGCUGUCGUCAGCUCGUGUCGUGAAGAUGUUGGGUUAAGUCCCGCAACGAGCGCAACCCUUGCCCUUAGUGCCACCAUUUAGUGAGCACUCUAAGGGACCGCCGGUGACAAACCGGAGGAAGGUGUGU